CCAAAAACAUAGCCCUUAAACAUCAAUUAAAGGUGAAACCUGCCCAAUGGUUUAUAAAUAAUUUUUUCCAGAAAGAAAAAAAAAAAAACUAAAUGGCUGCGGUAACUAUGACUGUAUGAAUGUAGCAUAAUCACUCGCCACCUAAUUAGUGGAUAGUAUGAAUGGUCAAACGAAAAUUUCUCUGUCUUACGUAGUAAUAAGAAAAUUUAAAUUAUAGUCAAGAUGCUAUAUAAAAUUGUAAGACGAAAAGACCCUAUAAAGCUUAACUACAAUCUUUUAAAAACACAAAAAACAUAAUAAACUUAAAAGAUAGGUAGUUUCAUUGGGGCGAUGGUCUCUAAAAAAAAACAGAGACAAACUAUAUUAAUAACAUAAUUUAUUGUUUAAUAAAUAUAUUUAACAGUUACAAAGUAGGUUAUAAAGACCCAUUAUUACUUAGAAAAAAGAAUAAUGAUCAAAAAAUAAAAGCUACUUUAGGGAUAACAGGAUAAUCUUUUCCAAGAGCUCUUAUCGAAGAAAAAGUUUAUCACCUCGAUGUUGAAUUAAGAUAACCCAAUGACGCAGCCGUUAUUAAAGGUAGGUC
rnacentral:rRNA from 1 species